rnacentral:rRNA from 1 species
UACGUAGGGGGCAAGCGUUGUCCGGAAUCAUUGGGCGUAAAGCGCGUGUAGGCGGCUAGGUAAGUCUGCUCUGAAAGCCCGGGGCUCAACCCCGGGAGGCGGGUGGAUACUGUCUAGCUCGAGUCCGGAAGAGGAGUGUGGAAUUCCUGGUGUAGCGGUGAAAUGCGCAGAUAUCAGGAGGAACACCAAUGGCGAAGGCAGCACUCUGGGACGUGACUGACGCUGAGACGCGAAAGCGUGGGGAGCAAACAGGAUUAAGAUA